UAACCUGCCCAAGAGAUCGGGAUAACACCUGGAAACAGAUGCUAAUACCGGAUAACAACAGAUGAUGCCUAUCAACUGUUUAAAAGAUGGUUCUGCUAUCACUCUUGGAUGGACCUGCGGUGCAUUAGCUAGUUGGUAGGGUAACGGCCUACCAAGGCGAUGAUGCAUAGCCGAGUUGAGAGACUGAUCCGGCCACAGUUGGGACUGAGACACCGGACCCAAACUCCUACGGGAGGCAGCAGCU
rnacentral:rRNA from 1 species